ACACACCCUCAGACACACACAAUUACAUGCCCCUCAACACCCUCAGACACACACAAUGACACUCCCCUUGACACACCCUCAGACACACACCCUGACAUGCCCCUCGACACACCCUCACACACACACACACUGACACGGCCCUCGACAGACCAUCAGACACACAAACUGGCACGCCCCUUCAACACACCCUCAGACACACCCUGACAUGCCCCUCGACACACCUUUAGACACACACUGACAUGCCCCUCAGCACACCCUCAGACACACACACUGUGAAAUGCCCUUGACACAUCCUAAGACACACACUGACACGCUCCUCGACACACCCUCAAACACACACACACACUGACACUCCCCCCGACACACCCUCAAACACACACUGACAUGCCCCUUAACACACCCUCAGACACACACUGACACUCCCCUUGACACACCCUCAGACACACACACUGUGAAAUGCCCCUCGACACACACCCUGACACGCCCCUCGACACACCCUAAGACACACACUGACACACUCCUCGACACACCCUCAAACACACACACACACACUGACACUCCCCCCGACACACCCUCAAACACACACUGACAUGCCCCUUAACACACCCUCAGACACACACUGACACUCCCCUUGACACACCCUCAGACACACACACACACACACACUGACACUCCCCUUGACACACCCUCAGACACACACACACACACACACACUGACACUCCCCUUGACACACCCUCAGACACAAACACUGACAUGCCCCUCGACAAACCCUCAGACACACACACACUGACACUCCCCUUGACACACCCUCAGACACACACACAGUGAAACGCCCCUUGACACACCCUCAGACACACACCCUGACAUGGCCCUUGACACGCCCUCAGACACGCCCUUCGACGCACCCCUCGACGCACAUCAUAACACACACCCUCCAUCACCUUACUGUCCUGUUUUGGUCUUGUUUUCAGCAGUAGAGGGAAAGAGCAGUGCUUCAGGAUAUAACUCUGUCUGUAGCGGCCGGCCGGAUCAGACGGGGUUCACAGCGUUCCGUGAUCUGUCCAGAUCCGAACACAUGCCUUUAAUUCCGAUCUAAAACUCCAGAGACACUCUGAAUGAUGACAUCACCGCGUCUCUCAUUACGCUACGGAAGUGUUGUGCUGUUUAACAUAAAGCCGUUUGGAAAGAUUUGGAGUGUUUAUCUCGGCUUCUCAGUGGGGAAACACUCAACACCUACAUUUCUUUAUACACACACACACACACACACACACACCGUGUGCUGUUUCUAAUUAGUAGAGUGAGACAGGCUUGCUGAGAAACCUAUAGCUCUGUGUGUGUGUGUGUGUGUUGUUUUUGUUUGAAAUCUUUGUGGGGACCAGAUGUCUCUGGGACCAGAUCAGUUCUGACCAUGUGGGGAUUUUCCCAGCAGGUAAACUGGAGCUUUUAUUUCAAAACUAACCCGAAAACCUGGGAAAAAAGAAUCUGAGUGUUUCCUUUUAGUUACUGAGGUUAAAGUUCAGCGCCGCAUCAAUUAGCCGCGUUAAUAAUCACGAGUGUGUGUGUGAGUGUGUGUGCUGUUCGUUCCCUCCUCUCUGGCUCCUCCCACACAAAUUGAUGAAGUUAAAUGUUAAUUAAGAAUCAUUUCAUUAGGGGAAGGAGUCUGAGCUGAGCGGCGUCCACGCCUGUGAUCUGAGCCGUGUUGGAGAAAAAAAUCAGGAUUGUUUGGCAGUGCAGGCGUCGUGAUGUGAACGGAGAGAUUGCAUCACUUUGUAAUCACGCUGAGAGCUCGUGCAGCCGGCUGACAUUACGUCCCGCCUCCGCCUGGCACUGCUCGGUGUGUGUGUGUGUGUGUGCGUCUGGGAACCUGGCCAAGUUGUUGGUCCAAGGAGGACACCGUGUGGGACAGCGACGCACACAGACACACAGAGAGGGAAUAUGUGAGUGCCUUGAGGCAACACACACACACACACACACACACACACACACACACACACACACAGACACACACACACUUUUGCUGUCAAAUUCUCUCUCUCUCUCUCUCUCUCUCUCUCUCUCUCUCUCUCUCUCUCGUUUUUAUGCACACGCUGAAAGCUCACAGUUGUAUUGGGGGAAGGAAAAAAAAGAAAAGAAAAAUCCGGUCCAGACAGAUAUGCUGACAGCGUCUCUCUCUCUCUCUCUCUCUCUCUCACUCCUUGCUCUUGCUCGCGCUCUCUCUCACACACACACACACCAGACGCCUCUUGAGCAAGCGCACACACAUCCUGGUGUCUGAUCUAAUUAUGCUCCUUGUUCUAAUCAUCCCCACGUGCAGUGGGUUUUUUCCCCCCUCUCUCCCGUUCCGCAGGAAACACGUAGCCGCGGCGGAGCGAGCGCGGAGCCGGAACGCCUGCAGCGCCGAGGAUCACAGAUCACACUGAUCAAAAGCUCAUUAAACAUUCAUAACCAUCCCGAGAGCGCGCGUCUCAAACAGCCUGAAACGGCACGCUGAAGCUCACACGUCACCCAACUGUGAUGCACGAACACGCCGCCGCAACCAGGACACGACAGCUCGGCAGGCCCAGAGAGACAGAUCUGGAGAGAGAGAGAGAGAGAGAGAGAGAGAGAGCUGGAGAGAGCGAGGUUUGGAGGCAGGACUGAGGAGAAGGACAGAGCUGAUGGUUUAAACCCAGGAGAGCAGGAAACUCGUCCUGAGACCAGAUCACUUUCAUUAGGGGGCCAAGCACCGAAGACGAGUGUGUGUUUAAUUCUUCCUUUAAUACACACAUUUUCACACGGGGGUCUAGGACAGUCCACCCCACAGUCUCCAGCUUCACAGCAGCUCAUCUACAUCACGAUCGCUCUCUAGCGCCACCAGCAGGACACAUCUUGACAUUACAGUGAAACUAUUCUCACAGUCAUGCUCUUAUAGUAAACAUCAGCGGCGUGCCUGUGAACAAUUCUCUGACAUUUCAGACACAACGUGGACGAAUAUUCGAUCUGAUGCUGCCAUGUCGACGUCCAGUCAGUCAGCCGGUCAGCAUGCAGCAUCACAAGACCAAACAUGGAGGCGUGUCUCUGCAACACUGUGACUUAAACACACCAAAAUUUAGCAGAUGUGGACAGAUGUGUGUAACACAAACACAUUUGAUGGCACGGUCACCAGACAGGAAGUGAUUGCAAAUCUCGGCAUUUUUUUUUAACAUUUCGACACCAAACCCGUCGCGUAGGCUUUAUAACAUGACCUAAUGGAAACAGGAAGUGGUGCAAAAGCUAAGAAAAGGCUUGAUGUUUAGCUUUUCGGGUUUCAUCUGUUUGGUUUCUGUCACUAAGGAGUGGAGCCAAACAGUGCUUGGCCCCCUUAAUCGCUGCCUGCAGUUCUAUUUGUUGUAUUCAGACGUCCGGUUGGAAAUUUAUGAGCCUCGUUGUCUAGGCUUGUCAAACGGCUAGUGACGGCCAUGUUUAAUGAGAUCUGGUUGAUGAAAAGAAACUAGCGGAGUCGGAAGCGGAGACAAACCCCGUGCCUUUGACCCCGACUUUUUCUUUUCGGCUUCGCCGCACAUCCGUAAUCUCACUGAAAUGGCCCUUUUCCACAGAACACUGUCCAUCUCCUGCCUCUGCAGCUGUAAUGCUGACACCUGCCUUUUUGUUUCUCCUGACUGGACUCUCCGCAGCGCUCUUCUGCCCGAUCUUCCGGAUAAACCCAUUGACUGAUAACGGAGUCGAACCCCGAGAUCACACGACUCUUGCUCAGUUUAGCCUGAAGAUAUGAAGAUCAAACGAUUGACCGUCACUACACGCUUCUGUCUCUCAUCUCAAUACAUUUAUUAUAAUCAUUUUCCUUUAUCUAGUUAAAAUUAUAUAAAUAAUAUCAUCUUUUAUAUUUAAUUUAAAUGUCAUUAAAAAAUACUAUUUCUUUCACAAUCACAAGCAUUAUUUUUUUUUUUUUAAAUUGAAUUCUGCUCUUAGGUGGAAAAUACAAAUAUAAUAAAUCUGAAAAUA